CUCAGACUUAUUUCCGGGCUUGGGAGUAGCAACUAUUACUUCGAUUACUGGAUUACUUCGAAAAUAUAUGGAUCGGUAGACUAACUAGACGGAAAAUCAUAAGGACAUCCGUGUGUAGUGUGUAGUUAUGGAACCAAUAUGACGCGACAGUUUAUGGGGUUACAUAAAACUAACAGUUCCAUCGAAAGUUAGUAUAAAGGUUAAAUGGGUUUGAAUAGGUUGUGACGUAUUAGGUGACGUUGAGGGUUUUCAGUAUCUUGGGUCUUUCGUUAAAAAAAUGGUGACUUUGAUGUUAAUAUGAAACAUUAUGUGUGGCUGGAUUUAGUGAAUGAAAGCGUCUGGUAUUUUUUGUGACAAGAACAUUUCAAUGAGACCCCAAGAAGGGUG